CAGGAGUGUGUGUGCUCAGGAGAAGGGCUGCCUUUUCCUAAAUUACGUAAGCAGGGGCAUCUCAGAGAUCAUCUCAAGUAAUGGAGCCUGACUUCUGUGAUGAGUGAAAGAAUCCAGGUUGGUGAACAGAUGGCCAUCGAAUGACCAAAAACUGGAAACUUGGAGGUGAUCCACUGUAGACAGGAUCUGAGCACUGGGAAGAUUGGAGGACGCCUAUCUCUCUUGGAAAGAAGAUGCUCAUUCCAUUCUGUGUUGGGUUAAUCAUGUUAAUAAUUAACAUGAUUAAGUUUGAUAAAUUCCUUCAUUAAUGUGGCUGCUAUCUAGAGGUUGAAAAGCAAAAUUAAAAGAGCCAUACAUUCUUGGCAAAGCUGCUUCUCAGAGCCUCUCUUCCAGGGCAUUAGGAAUCUGCUUGCUCUUCCAACCCUUUAGAAAUGGAGACAUGAACAGACUGUC